GGGCACGGUCCCUCCCGGUGAAUUUCCGAGCUGCCCCGGGUCCGAGGGGCCGGGGGCUGUGAGUUGCUGUGCGGGUCAGCCGCGUUCGUGCGGCCUCUCAGACAACUGCGAGCCGCUAACAGUGCACAGAAUGUCUGAAAGAUAAAUACCCUGUUCGUUCCCCUCAGUAUUACUUUCUUAGCAAAGACCGCACUUCCACGGGCUCUUUUCAGUUCAUUUGCAGAGUAGUCGGAAGUCCCGCAGGAAAAUCCACACUGUUUUUCCCAACAUGCCAGACCAACCUUCCGCAGAGAACAUAUACGUGGGAGAUGUCAAGGGAAUUGGGAGUCUCUUCUUGGCAGCUUUCUAGACACAGGAAACUCAGCUGUUUUUCUGUUCUUUAAGGAUCUAGAAAGUAAUUUUUGAGCCUCCAGAGCUCUGAGCAUUUGGACACAUUAACACGCCCACACUGGAAAGGGCAGAGGAGAAAAAAGGAAAACAAAUGAGGCUCCAGUGAGUGCACUCUUAAAAAGUGUGGGAAGAACCUCUGCUUAUGCUAAUAAACAUUUGAGGUAUCUUGUGUUGAACUUGAGGAUUUUGAGCAGAAAUGCAAGACCUGUCUGGUCUCCUCCCAUCUCAGUGAUCAGUCCAUGAUUUUUAUAAAUACCCCUGAAAGCAAGCCUUUGCACACAGGCAGAAUUAUAUUCUGUGUCACAAUAGAUAGGAAUGCUGAAACUGACUGGGUUUUUUGCACUGGCUGUGCUUUAAUACAUGUGCAGUUAAUUAAAUGCUGUGUGGAAGUCACAGAGGAUUUUACGUUUGGUUUCUCCCGAGACCAUGUCUUAGCAUUUGAGCCUUAGCACAGCUUUAUAAAGACACUCAUUGAAGCCAAAGACUCACUGUCCUUGAGUUGCCCCUGGAAACAAUGGAUAGGAAAAGCACUGGGCAUCUUAGAGAGCAUUUCCUUUUCUCGUUAUGUCUGUUUAUCAAAUCAGUGAAGGGAAGGUGGACUUUCAGAAGUUUUAAGCUAUUCUUCAACAAUCCAACCCGAUUUCAUCUCUACUCCAAGACAUCAGGAAGUAACAUUUUUUAUUUUUUAGAAUAAUAAAAUUAUUAAGGUUGGAAAAGACCUCUAAGAUCAUCAAUCCAGCCUCCAAAAAACCCUAUUUUUUUGAUAGAAGA